AAGAGAAUAGGAAAGUUGCCUUUUUCUUUUAUUGAGUCAUUAUGGGAAAAUUAGGAUAUAGAGGGAAUGGGAAAAAUGGAAGAGCAUUAUGCUCUUGGGGCUGCCAAAUUAUAGAGAGAAGAGAGAGAAAGAGAGGGCGUGACCUAGAGAGAGAAGGAGAAGAAGAAAGAAAGGAAGAAGGAGAAGAAGAAAGGUUCAAGCUAGGGGUUUGAGCAAGGAGGUUAUUGGAUUCUUGAUUGGAUUGGAUUCUUGAUUUUCUAUCAAGAAGAGGUAGCAAAUAGGAUUUCUCUGUGGCACGCGUGGUGACGUGAGGAGUUCUAUCGUCGUAGGGUGUAUGGCGUGGGGUAUCCUAUGGACGGAAUAAACGAUCACUUUAGGACGCCAUUUUAAUUAUGUUAUGUUUUAAGAGACUUUCUAAAUUAUCAGUGGGACUUAAUUAUUUAAUUUUGUUUCUUUUGAACUUUGCAUAAAAACUCAUAUUUUCUUUUUAAACUAAUGGGCCCAACUUGCAUUGUUUUAAGCAAGUCCCCACUGAGACCUUUAUAAAAAGUGGUUUUCUUUAUGGGCCAAUGAUAUG